AGAUGGCGACCGGCGCACGGGUGAGUAACACGUAUCCAACCUGCCGAUAACUCGGGGAUAGCCUUUCGAAAGAAAGAUUAAUACCCGAUGGUAUAAUCAGACCGCAUGGUCUUGUUAUUAAAGAAUUUCGGUUAUCGAUGGGGAUGCGUUCCAUUAGGCAGUUGGUGAGGUAACGGCUCACCAAACCUUCGAUGGAUAGGGGUUCUGAGAGGAAGGUCCCCCACAUCGGAACUGAGACACGGUCCAA
rnacentral:rRNA from 1 species